ACAAGAAUUAACGUUUCGGGUCCGGUGAUCCUUCCUUCAGAACUGUGCUCCGAAACAUUACCUCUGUUUCUCUCUUCACGAAUGCUGCCGGACCUGCCGAGUUUCCCCAGCCUUUUCUUUUUAUAUGUCACCGCUGCCGCAUUCGUCCGGCUUCACCCUGAAGCGGCGAUGCUCAGACGAAUGAGCUGAGCAUCCCUUACCAGCCAAAACACACCACAGAGAACAAAACCAAAGUUGCUGGAAAAGCUCAGCAGGUGUGGCAGCGUCUGUGAAGGAAAAAAAUCAGAAUUAACGUUUCGAGUCCGGUGACCCUUCCUCGGAACUGAGGACCACGGAGAAUCAUCCCGUCGCGUAAAGACUGCCCAAUCAAAAAGGAAAGGAAUUCCACACUACAGGGCUAAGACUCCCAAAUGCAAGUCCACCAAAAGCAAGUUAAAAGAAGCAACAGAAAAGGUGAUCAGAGAUGAUGGGAACUGCAGAUGCUGGAGAAUCCGAGAUUAAAGUGUGGAGCUGGAUCAACACAGCAGGACAAGCAGCAUCUUAGGAGCACAAAAGCUGACGUUUCGGUCCUAGACCCUUCAGCAGAAAAAAGCUCAGCUAAUUGAAGCAAUUCACACACUAACCUGAUACCUGAAGAGGAUCACACCCGAAACAGAGAAGAAUAUGGGGACCGGGGGGGGGGGGAAAGAGGCUUUUUUUAAAAAAAAUCAUGCCUGUUGUAAUUUUUCUAUUGGACAUUUUGUUCUGGAAAUAUCAGUCAGUUUGAUAUCACUAUUCUAAACUUUUAGCUUGACAAGUUUACAUUUCUGCUAAAUAGAAAAUGUCUUUUUGUGUUUUGCAUUUCUGUACAAUAAGAAAUGAUAAUUGACAUUUAAAUUUAUUUUCAGGAGUCACAAUGAAAAGAAAUUGGAGGACAAUAGACAGUGUUGAAAUAGAUCAAACUAAACCUAUUGAAUUAAUUCAUCAGAACAUUCCUUCUGGUUAAUGGAAAAACAGUAAAGGAAAAGCCAAAUAACACAGUAAUAUACACUAUUGAGGGGUCAUGACCAAUACUUUUUAUUGGAGUUGAUAAAUUAGAACAGAGAAAAUAGAAUGAACACUUUAUGCAUAGAGUACUAUUUUGAUUUUAAUUUAAAAUCUAACACCAAGUGAGUAAAUUAAAACAUAUUAAAUUUGAGUGAACGGUCACAUCCGCUUUGAACAAAUAUUCAGUCACCUUUUCACGUUGGUGCAGUAUUGUAUCAAGCUUUCCUGUUCAAUUUAAAACCUCAACAUUCUUAAUUAAUCUUGCCUUUCUCCUUUCUAAAGGGAAACACAGAAUAUGUGAGUUGAAUACAUCUAGAACUUAUUUGUAAGUACAAACAUAAAUUUGCCAAAUUUGGCCAACCAAUAAUUUACACCACAGGAGAAAAAAUUCUGAUUUGUUGGCAAGUUUACUCUGGUUAGUCGAGGCACUGCCACGAAGGAAGCAUUGGGAAUACAAUUGGUGUAAAUUUUGCUUUCUUGCAUUUGUCCUCAUGAAAAGCUUCUGCAGCUUGUAUCUGUUCUCAAAUGCGCAAUAUUUUAUGCAUUGAUCAUUUUUUAAAGCCUUAUUUACACAAGUAGUUCAUUUAGAAUAGGCACUGGAUUUAUAAAUGAAAAAACAGUCUUUGUCUUCAUAAAUGUUAAUCCAUAAGCAAAAUAUAUACAAUGUGCACCACGGAAUUUUGAAUGUAAAUAUCUGAUAAUUAAUUAAAUCUCUAUAUAACCUACAAGUCCUUUGUUUUUUUGCUGCUGAAAAUACCACAGUAAAGACAGCUCAAAGAAAACCUGCAAUUUUGUCAGAUUACAUUUGGCAUUUAUACACAAGUCCAUUUUGUUAGCAUGUAUAUUUAUUUAAUAAUUUCCAACAUUCAAUUGUUAUCUUUCAUCCACUGUUCAAUCCAUUGUAUGAUCUGAUCCAAAUUUCUUUCCAGGUCCUCAGGUAUAUUACUUGGUAACUGAUGGACAAUCUCCUCCCGAUACGACUCCAUAGCCUCUUCAUAUAUAGUCUGGAAAAUCUCACACUGUAUAUUGUCCUCAAGUUUCUUUCCACUGUAACUCCUGAAAGUAAAUUCAAAUGUCAAUUGUCAUUUCCUGCAGUACAAAAAUUAAGCCACUGUGUCCAACCUUGCCAAUUAUCGUCUCAGAUUUGAUCGAAAGGCUGUGUUGUAUUACCUAAUUUAAGACAAAAGGAGCAGAAAUACUACAAUGCAAAUCAAAAUACCUGACAUUGAAAAAAGAUGAAAAAGUAACGUCAAGACAGCUUGCAUUUAUGUGGCCCAUUUCACACAGUAAAACAUCCCAAACCACAUGAAAGGAGCAGUAUGAAACAAAAUUUGCCAGUCACAUUAGGAAAUAUUAGGAUAGACGAACUAAAACUUGGUCAAAGAGUUAGGUUUUAUGGAACAUGUUAAAAGGUAGGAAGGGGGGUUCAGAAGGGAUUUCUACUGUUUAUGACCUCAAUAGCUGAAAGCAUGGCUGCCAAUAGUGCAGUGAUUAAAUUUGGAAAUACUUGAAAAACUAGAAGUGGAGGAGUACAACAAUUAUCUAGGACAAUGCUAAAGGAAGUUACAGAUACAUAGAGGGAUAAAGCCAUGGUUGAUUUGAAAACAAGGAUGGAAAUUCCAAAAUUUAAGAGUUGCUUAAAGAAAGCCAAUGAACUUCGGUGAGCUAAAGGUGACAGGACAUCAAUCAUUCUUAGUACAAGUUAAGACACUGAUACCAGAGUUUUAGGAGAUCUGAAGUUUAAGGAGGGUAGAGCAUAAGAAGCCAGCCAGUAAAGCAUUGGAACAGACAGGUGUAGAUCUAAUAUAGGUGGACCUGAGGGUUUCAGCAGGUAACCGGAGAUAGGACCUAGAUCUGGCAAAAGUAUGGAGGUGAAAAUCUGUGGUCUUGGUGAUUGAUGUGGUCACAAGUUUAUCUCAGGGUCAAAUACGGCAGGAAGGCUGCCAGGGAGAGGGUUGGGAAUAAUUGGUUAGCAGAUGGUGGAGAGGGCUGCAGACAAUGGCUUCAUCAUUCUGAAUAAUUUAUCUGGAGGAAAUUUCUAUUAAUCCAGAACUGGAUAUCAAGUAGUCAGACAUUUUAGAGUCAGUGCAGGAAUCUAAAGAUGUGGCACUGAGGAAGAACCAGGUUUUGUCAGCAUAUGAAUGAGAAACAGGACAGGAACCAAUGAUAUUUUGUUGGUACAAAACUGGGAGUAAUGAAGGAGCAGGACGAGAAGCCAUUUCAAGUGUUUAUGAUUAGAUGAUUAAGAAAGCGAAUCAAGAAAGCACACUCCCACCCAGCUUGAUAAUAACCAAGAGGUAUUGGUGAGGUUGGUGCAGUCAACUGUGUCAACCGAAGAAGAUAGGUUGAGAAGGGCGAAGACAGUCCCUUCUCCUGACUGGUAUCCAGCGCAGCAGAGUCUCCCAAACAUGUUUGUGUGAAAACUAGGUUUAAAAACAAGACUGAGCUCAACUGAAUUUACUAUAGAGUUCAUAUAGCCUGUUGACCUGCAGGACAAGACCUGAAAAAUUAUUAGCCACUUGAACAAGGUACAGGAAGAUAGCCAAUGUCUGGGAAACAAUAUUAUUUACCAUUACAUACAACUAUCUGUUCCAUGGCCUCAAGAAAAAUACUGAGUCCGUAGGAUGAUUUUUUUUGUAUGCGGCUAAAGAGGAAAAGACCGAGUAAACUGAAUUUUAAAUGAACAUAAAUAUCAUGUUAAAUAUUUAGUACCUGUUUUCCAAUCGGUCGUAUAAAAUUGAAUUAUCUGUACGAAGUACAAACACAAUGUGGAACCAGCGCUCCGGAAAGAAGUCACAACCAUGGUAAUCCACAAUUAUCCCACCUUCACUCAUCUUAUCAUCAAGCUCAUCAACUACCUGAAAAUCAGAUUAUUCUAGAAGUUAAAAAGUUGUAUGAGUCUUCUAUGAUAGAUUACAAACACAAGCAGGUGCAUAUACAUGUGCAAAUUUUUAGAUACAGAGAUUUUGGCUCAAAAUGAAAACAGUAGAAUUAUCAUUGUGCUGUAAAACAUGUGUGUCUGGGUGAAACUCAGCUUGUAACAGUAUUCACAAAAAAAUCCUUCAAUGAGUAGAAAAAUAUUUCACUUCGCAACGUCAACAGGCUCACAAGAACCAGGAGCAGGACUGGGCCAUCUGGCCCCUUAAGCCUGCCCUGCCAUUUAAUAAGGUCAUGGCUGAUCUUUAAGACUCAGCUCCACUUACUCACCCACUUACCAUAACCUUCAAUUUCUUUAUUGUUCAAAAAUUUAUCUCGCCUUGCCUUAAAAAGAAUCAGGGAGGUAGCUUCAACCGCUUCACUGGGCAGGGAAUUCCACAGAUGCACAACCCAUUGGGUGAAGAAGUUCCUCCUGACCUCAGUCCUACAUCUGCUUCCCUUGAUUUUGAGGUGAUGUCCUCUAGUCCUAGUUUCACCUGCCAGUGGAAACAACCUCCCUUUCUCCACCCUAUCUACUCCCUUCAUAAUCUUAUCUGUUUCUCUAAGAUCUCCCUUCAUUCUUCUGAAUUCCAACGAGUAUAAUCCCAGUCUAUUCCACAUCUGCACUGAGUUCUGAACACGAUGUGGUGUUGAAAUUAAUCUUAAUGUCUUCAUGUUUGGUCGAUGGGGUGGAACGAGGCAAAUUUCUGAUCAUAUUAAUGGGUCCUUUUCAAACUGGCAAGCAGUAACUACUGGGGUGCCACAGGGAUCGGUGCUGGAACCCCAGCUAUCCACAAUGUAUAUUAAUGAUUUGAAUGAAGGAACAAAAUGUAACAUCUCCACGUUUGCAGAUGAUACCAAGUCGGGCGGGAGGGUGAAUUGUGACAAGGACGCAGAGAUCCUUCAGCAGGAUUUCGAGAGGAUGUGUGAGUGGGUAAAUCAAUGAGGUUAUUCACUUUGGGAGCAAAACCAAGGAGGCACCUGAUAGCUGUAAACUGAGAGAGGGGAGUGUGCAGCGGUACCUGGGUGUCCUUGUGCACAAGUUGCUGAAGGUAAGCAUGCAGGCGCAGCAGGUGGUAUGUUGGCAAACGGUAUGUUGGCCUUCAUUGUGAGAGGUUUUGAAUACAGGAGCAGGGAUGUGUUGUUGCAGUUGUACAGGGCCAUGGUAAGACCACAUCUAUAAUAUUGGGUGCAGUUUUGGUCUCCUUUUCUAAGGAAGGAUGCUUUUGUUCUCAAGGAAGUGCAGCAAAGGUUUACCAGGCUGAUUCCAGGGGUCUGACAUGAGGACAGAUUGACUAGGUUGGGAUUGUUUUUGCUAGCGUUCAAGCGAACGAGGGAGGAUUUCAUAGAGACUGACAAAAAAUUUUUAACAGAACUGGACACGGUUGAUGUUCCUGAUGGAGGGUGCAUCCAGAACGAUGGGUCACAGUCUGAGGAUUCAGGAUAGAUGAUUUAGGAUGGAGAUAAGGAGACAUUUCAUCACCCAACGAGUGGUAAGCCUGUGGAAUUCAUUACCACAGGAAGUAGUUGAUGCCAAAACAUUGAAUAUAUUCAACGGGUGACUGGAGGUAGCAUUUGGGGAAAAUGGGAUCAAAGGUUAUGGGGAGAAAGCAGACUUAGGCUACUGAGUUGGACAAUCAGCCAUGAUUGUGAAGAAUGGCAGAGCAGGCUUAAAGGGCUGAAUGGCCUCUUCCUGCUAUCUUCUACAUUUCUAUGACCACUAUCCAGUUACUUGCGCUGUUUGGAUAUUCAAAGGCACUGAAUAGCUUUACUUCAGAUGGAUAGACCCUGCCAAACUAGCACACAGAUGACACAAAAUGGCCACUUGGAAGAUACACUGAAGUGCUGCUAAAGCCUGUGAAGCCAUAGCUGACAAGCAGAAGCACAAACAAAAAUAAAAUGGGAGAGAGAACAAAAAAAAACAACAUACAGACUUGGGGGCCACUACACUAAUAAAUCAUGCAAGGGUUUUUUUUUAAACCAGUAAUUCAUUUGACUUACUGGUGCAUGAUCUAAAAAUAAACAGGUCAAAAAGUGAUCGCAAGACAAGAAUAUGUUAGGAAUUUACUUAUUCUUGUGAAAGAUUUAAAUUUUAACAGCCGACAUCAUGAGCUGAAAUAUAUUAAAAUAUGUAUUUGGUUGAGGAGGGCAAAAAAGAAAAUUUUAGGAAUAAGAGUAGAUGAUUUAGCCCCUUGAGUCUGUUCCGCUAUUCAAUGAGAUCCUGGCUGAUCUGUGACCUGGCUCCAUAAGCCAAACUUUGUCCCACAGAUUUCUAUUAAAUCGAAGACAUUGAAUGACAUCAAUCUCAGAAAAAAAAAUUUUAAAACUGACUCAGCUUCAACUGACACUUACGGAGCAGAGGCUAAAACAUCUACUACCCUUUACAUAUAGAGACAUUUCCUGACUUUGCUCCUGCAAAGGCCUGACUCUCGUUUUUAGGCUGUCUUUAGAUUUCCCAACCAGCAGAAAUAGUUUGUCUGUCUCUACUAUGUAUGUUCCCUGCAAUAUCUUGAAAGCUUCAAUCAAGUCACAUCAAAGCCUUCCAAGGAAUACAUCCCUAAUUUGUGCAAAACUUCUUGUUGGAAUUUUUUUAUAAUUCUGGUAAUUAUACAUUAUACUAAAUCUGAGGCCUGUACACCCGUCACAAGAUGUGGUAUCCAAACUGAACACCAUAUUCCAAGUGUAAAUGAAUGAAGGAAAAUAAUUUAAAUUCCAAAUUGAACUUAAGUUGACUCCUAUAUUUUUAAAUAUAGUCAUAAACCAAGAGACACUCAUUAAAUAUUUAAAUAUUGAGCUAAGAUCAGGUUUAAAAAAAAGUCUGCUUAGGCAUUAAGAAGUUCAUUUCGCCCCACUCAAACUAUUUACAAAUAAGAAAAAGGUCGUUAGAAGUUUGUAUAGCUGUCUAGACUCUAUGAACCCGAUCAAUUUAAUCAGAAACCAAAAUUUCAAGGAGAUACUAUAAAAUUAGCAGCAACUACACAUCUAAUCAACAUUUAAACAAAAGCAUGGACAUGGAAAAAUUACUUUGUUCAAAUUGAUUUUGCAUUACAGUAUAUCGCAACCUCACCCUGUCUUCAUCCAGAAUGGGACAUGAGUAUUCCUCAUCAUAGCCUUCAUAAAGAUUACCUUUACAAGAACAUUAGAAAUGCAGCACAGUUUACAUCAUAUUUUCAAGCAGAUGAAUUACAUCAACACACACUUUGCAAAUGUUGCGGCAGAAAAUAUUUAACUGCAGCAGUAUGAAAAAAUAUAUAAAACCCUGAAAAAAAUGACAGGACUGAGCAGUGAUUAUUACUUUUCAUUGUUUUGCCGAAUGCAAAAUGUCUAUUGAUUUACUUGUACAACUACAUUGUGUUCAAGUCUUGAUAAAAGAAAUUUUUAUUGAUUCAUGGGAUGAGGGCUUCACUGGCUAGACCAGCAUUUAUUGCCCAUCUCUCAAGGCUAUGAGGACACUUAAGAGUCAACCACAUUACUGUGGGUCUGCAGUCACAAAGGCUUAACCUGGCAAGGACGGCAGUUUGCUUCCUAAAGGACAUUAGUGAACCAGGUGGGUUUUUCUAACAAUCAACAAUGGAUUCAUGGUGAUCAUUAGACUCUUAAUUCCAGAUUGUUUUUAUUGAAUUUAAAUUUCAUCAUCUGCCAGGGCUGGAUUUGAAUCAGGGUCCCAGAACAUCAGGAUUAAUAGUCCAAUGAUAAUACCACUAGGCAGUUGCAUUGAUCAGAUAAACUGAUGCAGAGGUGUGAGAAUUGCUAUGAAAAUAGUAUCAGCUAUGUCCUGUAUUAUCCAACACAAUUUUUUAUUUUUAAAAAUCACCCUGUGCUUUUACUAAUAUUUUGCAUGCUGGAAUGGCACAUCUAAAAAAAAUCUCUACGCAAACAUAAGACCUUUAUUAACUCCUACAUGUUUUGAAAAUGAACAAAUGCAUUUCUUUUGAUAAUACUAAGGCAAGAAGAAUUCACUUGAAUUAUGAAAAUCCCUUCUGCAACUCUCAAAUUCAGUACUGGGUUAACAUCUUUUUGGAUUCAAAAAGCUCAAUCACCUACUGAUAAAGAAUAUUCCACUGUACCUUAAUGUGUGGAAAAUUGUCUUUUAAUUUCUGGACUAGUCAUGUUAAUCAAGAUUAACAGUAUAUACUAUUGAGCAGUAUUAUCGAGUCCAGCUCUCCAGAAUUACCAAUCUUUGUUCAUGAACAACUAGAUUUGUAUAAGAUCUGACAGCAGGCUAUUCCAGUAGCCAAAUGAAGUUGAAGAGUAAACUGGUUAGAUUAUAUGAUAACUCAUUUCAUCCAGAAAUUACCAUAUUAAUAUUUUGAAACAGUUCUUUUUUCCAUUCAUGUUCACCUUCUUUUGCAAGUUCUCCCACAUUAAUGUAUGUAAAUCCAGUUCUUCCAGCUAAUUCUUUACCAAGGGUAGUCUUUCCAACA